rnacentral:tRNA from 1 species
GGCUACUGAAGGGAUUUGAACCCUUAUACACUAAGUUAAGAGCUUGGGACUUUACCAUUAAGAUACAGUAGC